rnacentral:piRNA from 1 species
UAAACUGUGAUGACUCAAGUUCUGUCCCC